GAUGAACGCUGGCGGCGUGCUUAACACAUGCAAGUCGAACGAAGCACUUUAAAACAAUCUUUCGGGUGCGUUUUAUUGUGACUUAGUGGCGGACGGGUGAGUAACGCGUGGGUAACCUGCCUCAUGCAGGGGGAUAACAGUUAGAAAUGACUGCUAAUACCGCAUAGGCGCACAGUACCGCAUGGUACAGUGUGAAAAGAUUUAUCAGCAUGAGAUGGACCCGCGUCUGAUUAGCUAGUUGGUGAGGUAACGGCUCACCAAGGCGACGAUCAGUAGCCGACUUGAGAGAGUGAUCUGCCACAUUGGGACUGAGACACGGCCCAAACUCCUACGGGAGGCAGCAGUGGGGAAUAUUGCACAAUGGGGGAAACCCUGAUGCAGCGACGCCGCGUGAGCGAUGAAGUAUUUCGGUAUGUAAAGCUCUAUCAGCAAGGAAGAUAAUGACGGUACUUGACUAAGAAGCCCCGGCUAACUACGUGCCAGCCGCCGCAGUAACAC
rnacentral:rRNA from 1 species